rnacentral:lncRNA from 1 species
GCUUCUGUAAAAGACUGCCAAUUUUCCUGCAUUUGCCAGAAGUGCAAUACUAAAACUUUUGUGAAUGUGC